AACGAACGCUGGCGGCAUGCCUAACACAUGCAAGUCGAACGAGACCUUCGGGUCUAGUGGCGCACGGGUGCGUAACGCGUGGGAAUCUGCCCUUGGGUUCGGAAUAACAGUUGGAAACGACUGCUAAUACCGGAUGAUGACGUAAGUCCAAAGAUUUAUCGCCCAAGGAUGAGUCCGCGUAGGAUUAGCUAGUUGGUGAGGUAGAGGCUCACCAAGGCGACGAUCCUUAGCUGGUCUGAGAGGAUGAUCAGCCACACUGGGACUGAGACACGGCCCAGACUCCUACGGGAGGCAGCAGUGGGGAAUAUUGGACAAUGGGCGAAAGCCUGAUCCAGCAAUGCCGCGUGAGUGAUGAAGGCCUUAGGGUUGUAAAGCUCUUUUACCCGGGAUGAUAAUGACAGUACCGGGAGAAUAAGCUCCGGCUAACUCCGUG
rnacentral:rRNA from 1 species